rnacentral:rRNA from 1 species
GAGUUUGAUCCUGGCUCAGAAUCAACGCUGGCGGCGUGCCUAACACAUGCAAGUCGAACGAGAAAGGGACUUCGGUCCUGAGUAUAGUGGCGCACGGGUGAGUAACACGUGAAUAAUCUACCUCCGAGUGGGGAAUAACCAAAAGAAAUUUUGGCUAAUACCGCAUAACACUUACGAGUCAAAGCAGCAAUGCGCUUGGAGAGGAGUUCGCGGCAGAUUAGUUAGUUGGCGGGGUAAUGGCCCACCAAGACGAUGAUCUGUAUCCGGCCUGAGAGGGCGCACGGACACACUGGAACUGAAACACGGUCCAGACUCCUACGGGAGGCAGCAGUGGGGAAUUUUGCGCAAUGGGGGAAACCCUGACGCAGCAACGCCGCGUGGAGGAUGAAGUAUCUUGGUACGUAAACUCCUUUCGAUGGGGAAGAUAAUGACGGUACCCAUAGAAGAAGCCCCGGCUAACUUCGUGCCAGCAGCCGCGGUAAUACGAGGGGGGCAAGCGUUGUUCGGAUUUAUUGGGCGUAAAGGGUGCGUAGCGGUUGGCAAGCUUGUGUGAAAUCUUCGGGCUCAACCCGAAG